UCUCAUGAUGUAUUGUCAUGUAUUGUGGAGGGGAGAGACUUUAAGGAGUAGCUUUACUGUCUCCAUGAGCUCACCUCUCCAUCAUGCAUGACAAAACUAGUGAGAUGAUG